GUCUACGGCCAUACCACCCUGAACGCGCCCGAUCUCGUCUGAUCUCGAAUGAUAUACAGACCUGAUCAGACAGGAUCCAUGACCUCAAGGAGCUUACAUA
rnacentral:rRNA from 1 species